CCCCUAGAUGUCCUGGGCCGCACGCGCGUUACACUGAUGCAUUCAACGAGCUUAUAACCUUGGCCGAGAGGCCUGGGCAAUCUUGUUAACGUGCAUCGUGAUAGGGAUAGAUUAUUGAAAUUAUUAAUCUUGAACGAGGAAUUCCUAGUAAACGCAGAUCAUCAAUCUGCAUUGAUUACGUCCCUGCCCUUUGUACACACCGCCCGUCGCACCUACCGAUUGGAUGGUCCGGUGAAGCCUCGGGAUUGUGGUUCUUGCCGCUUUAUUGUGGCGUGACCGCGAGAACUUGUCUAAACCUUAUCAUCUAGAGGAAGGUGAAGUCGUAACAA
rnacentral:rRNA from 1 species